AUUGAACGCUGGCGGAAUGCUUUACACAUGCAAGUCGAACGGCAGCACGGACUUCGGUCUGGUGGCGAGUGGCGAACGGGUGAGUAAUACAUCGGAACGUGCCCGGACGUGGGGGAUAACUACUCGAAAGAGUGGCUAAUACCGCAUACGAUCCAAGGAUGAAAGCGGGGGAUCGCAAGACCUCGCGCGUUUGGAGCGGCCGAUGGCAGAUUAGGUAGUUGGUGAGGUAAAGGCUUACCAAGCCUGCGAUCUGUAGCUGGUCUGAGAGGAUGAUCAGCCACACUGGGACUGAGACACGGCCCAGACUCCUACGGGAGGCAGCAGUGGGGAAUUUUGGACAAUGGGCGAAAGCCUGAUCCAGCCAUUCCGCGUGCAGGAUGAAGGCCCUCGGGUUGUAAACUGCUUUUGUACGGAACGAAAAGGCUCUUGCUAAUACCAGGAGUCCAUGACGGUACCGUAAGAAUAAGCACCGGCUAACUACGUGCCAGCAGCCG
rnacentral:rRNA from 1 species